CCUACGGGGGGCAGCAGUCGAGAAUCAUUCACAAUGGGGGAAACCCUGAUGGUGCGACGCCGCGUGGGGGAAUGAAGGUCUUCGGAUUGUAAACCCCUGUCAUGUGGGAGCAAAUUAAAAAGAUAGUACCACAAGAGGAAGAGACGGCUAACUCUGUGCCAGCAGCCGCGGUAAUACAGAGGUCUCAAGCGUUGUUCGGAAUCACUGGGCGUAAAGCGUGCGUAGGCUGUUUCGUAAGUCGUGUGUGAAAGGCGCGGGCUCAACCCGCGGACGGCACAUGAUACUGGCAGACUAGAGUAAGGGAGGGGGAAGCGGAAUUCUCGGUGUAGCAGUGAAAUGCGUAGAUAUCGAGAGGAACACUCGUGGCGAAGGCGGGUUCCUGGACAUUAACUGACGCUGAGGCACGAAGGCCAGGGGAGCGAAAGGGAUUAGAUACCCUAGUAGUC
rnacentral:rRNA from 1 species